rnacentral:tRNA from 1 species
GGCUCCGUAACUUGGAGGAAAGAAGCGCCCGUCUAGCGAAUGGGGAGUCGUGGGUUCGAUUCCCACCGGAGCAC